rnacentral:rRNA from 1 species
GACGAACGCUGGCGGCGUGCUUAACACAUGCAAGUCGAACGAAGAGCGAUGGAAGCUUGCUUCUAUCAUUCUUAGUGGCGAACGGGUGAGUAACGCGUAAUCAACCUGCCCUUCAGAGGGGGACAACAGUUGGAAACGACUGCUAAUACCGCAUACGAUCUAAUCUCGGCAUCGAGGAUAGAUGAAAGGUGGCCUCUACAUGUAAGCUAUCACUGAAGGAGGGGAGUGCGUCUGAUUAGCUAGUUGGAGGGGUAACGGCCCACCAAGGCGAUGAUCAGUAGCCGGUCUGAGAGGAUGAACGGCCACAUUGGGACUGAGACACGGCCCAGACUCCUACGGGAGGCAGCAGUGGGGAAUCUUCCGCAAUGGACGAAAGUCUGACGGAGCAACGCCGCGUGAGCGAUGACGGCCUUCGGGUUGUAAAGCUCUGUUAAUCGGGACGAAAGGCCUUCUUGCGAAUAGUGAGAAGGAUUGACGGUACCGGAAGAGAAGGCCACGGCUAACUACGUG